CGGGGAGCUGGAGCAGGCCUCUGAGAACUGCCGGCUGCGGUGGUUUCUGGUUGCCAUACACAGAGGCAAACAAAGCCGAGGCCACGCGGGGUAGCCCCGCCCAGCGCCAGGCUCCGGCUCCGGUUUCCCACCCCUCACCGGGUGGCGCCAGGUCACCCCGGGAUGUUUUCCUCCGCAGGUUGCCUUCUGGGGAGCAGGUGGGAGGGCUGCCCACCUCUGGGGACUUUUCUGGGGCUCUGUAGGGCCCGCCUGCUGGAGAACAGCCUCUGGGUCCAGAGGAGCCUCCGGGCCCCUCUUAUCAGCUCAGAAGGCGGUUUGGUGCUCGGUUCUGCGGAAAACAAAGGGUUUGCGCCUUGGGGCACCAAGCAGACAAAAGUGCUCUGCUAAGGAAAAUACCCUAAAACCACCUUUUUCUCGACGGUGGCUUUUUAUGCUAAGCAGCAGGGCCGUUCAUUCAUUCAUUCAUUCGUUCAUUCAUUCAUUCAUUCGUUUGUUCAUUCAACAAGUAUUUAUUGGCACCCUAUGCCUAGGGACACUUUGGCCCAGAACAAAGUUCCCAUUCUCAAGUAGCUAACAAUGGGGGCAGGGGGGGGGGGAGGGAGGGGAAGAAGGCAAUAUAUAAAGAAGAUCAUUAAGAAAUAAGAUGAAGGGGCGCCUGGGUGGUUCAGUGGGUUGAGCGUCAGACUUCGGCUCAGGUCAUGAUCUCAUGGUUCCUGAUUUCGAGCCCCACGUCAGGCUCUGUAUUGACAGCUCAGAGCCUGGAGCCUGCUUCGGAUUCUGUGUCUCUCCCUCCCUCUCUGCCCCUCCCCUGCUCACGCUCUGUCUCUCUCUCUCUCUUUCUCUCUCAAAAUAAACAUUAAUUUUUUUUUUUUAAAUGAAGACUAUGAAGGUGGAAUAAUAAAAGGGGAGGCUCCUUUAGAUUUUGGUGGUCAAGGAGGCCUCUCUGAGAGGUGGUCAAGACCUGAGAGAUAAAACCUACUUGCCCGUUUGAGAGACAAGCUGGGAAGAGAGUUUCCGGCCAGGAGGGCAACAGAGACUUGAGGUUGGAGGGGGAUCUUCAUGGACCACUAGAUAGAACCAGUGACUGGGAGUCAGCUAGACCUGAGUUCAAGUACUGAUUCUGCCACUUAUUAGCUGUGUGACUCACUGUGGGUAAGUUACCAAACUCUUUAUACCUCGGCUUCCCUAUCCGUCAUAUGGGCCACUAACCACCGACCUUCAAAGGCUCUUCAAGGAUUAAAUGAAACGUGGAUUAACUGAAAGGCAGUCACCUCUGGGCACAUCAGAAAGGCUUGAGAAAGGCUCUUUGUCCUCUUGUGAUCUAGCUGGUCGCCAUUCUGUCACGCAAGCAGCAGUGCCACUCCCCAUGGUGUCCUGGUGAAAGGAAACAGGGAGAAGUGGACUGUCUUUCCCCAUCCUGACAGAUACCCUGAGCCUGUGCUCAUAUCAUAGUUCCCUCUGGGGCCAUCAGAGCUUUGUUUGGGGACAGCCUUUACUUGGAGACCACCAACCCUAGCCUGUCGACUGUGGCGAGGUAUGCCUUUUCUGGGCCUCAGUUUCCUCAUCUAUAAGAAGCACCUGAAGAGACCUUCACGUGUUCUCCUUUCCCAUCCAACUGCCAGCUCUAAGCCCCUGUCCUCAUCCAAGCCUGGGAAUGCUCUGGAACCACUGAGGUUCAUUUGGGCUGGCUCAAGGAGACAGAGGGAAAAGGAAAUAGACACUACCUGGGAAGGGGCAGCAAGGGGUCUUGGACCUCUGGAAGACAGAGGUGUGAUGGAGAUGUGACUGGUCCCCGUGGGAAUGAGUCCCCAUACAAUCUCCUGCCAAGUAUCACAUUCUCCCAGCCCCCUUUUCUCCAACUCCGGGUAAUCCUUUGCCAUGGGCCACACGGCAAAGUUCGGGUUUAAAAGCUUCAUUAAGGCUGACACCAACAGACCCUUGAAGUUGGCUGCCUCCUUUCUCAUUCUUCAUAUGUAUUCCUGUAUUCAUUCAUUCAACAGUUAUGUAGUACUUACCUUUAGUUUGUAAAACACUCCAUAUUUACCUCCCCACAGCCCUACUCACUCUCUGGAAUUUGUAAACUUGUCUACACUCCCUUGACCAGACUCACUUUGGCACAUAAUUCAAGGUCCUCCGAAGAUGUGACCACUGCCUUCCUUUCCAGAUCUUUUUUUUUUUUUUUUUUAAAUCCCAGCUCCUGUCCUCCACUCACGUUGAGACUUGUAGUUCUCAUAACAGGAUAUGCUCUUUCUUGCUACCCUUACCUCUGCACCUGCUAGGCUUUUGCUUGAAUGCUCAAAAUAUCUCUUGCUCAAAUAUCACCAAAUCCAUAAAGCCUUCUUUGACCUUUAAGACUUUCUCAUCUGUCAUCGGUAUUCUGAAAACAUGUAGCUUUCAUCCCACUGCUGUGACCAAGGGUCAUAAUCCAACUGCCCCCUGGGCCAGGUAGGCCGCAUAACUGAGAAUUGGGCCACUGGGGACUGUGGUGACAUAGGAAGUUCAUGCUCUGUACUACAGGGAAGCUGCCAAUCAAGGCGGAAACGGAGGCCCCAGUGUUGCCAAACCUUACUGUGUUUGUUUUGUUUUGUUUUGUUUUUUCAGAGAGAGAGAGAAUGGGAGUGGGGGGAGGGGCAGAGGGAGGGAGAGACCAUCUCAAGCAGGCUCCACGCUCAGUGCAGCCCAAUGCAGGGCUCAGUCCCACAACCCUGGGAUCAUGACCUGAGCUGAAAUCGAGCUGGACGCUCAACCGACUGAGCCACCCAGGCGCCCCUGGACCUUACUAUUUGUAGUAAGGAAGCCAGGAAUCGGUAUUUUAACAUAAAAUCUUUUUUCAGAAACUUUGUAUGGACCAAACAAGACAGCCGCAACCUGGAUGCAGCCCACUGACUGUUCAUCCGUGUGGUAAUGAUAUAACAGUACUUCACCGAUGGCCAAAGAAUCUUCCGGCGUAUGGAUAGAUCACAUUAUGCGCACUCUGUGUGUUCAUUCAUUGUUUACGGACACUUGGGCUGCUUCCGUUUUGGAGUAUCCUGAAUAAUGCUGCUGUGAACAUUCAACAGGUUUCAUGUGGACGUAUGUCUUCAUUUCCCUUGGGUAUAUAUCCAGGAGUGGAAUCUACUUUCUUCUAAAAGGAAGAAAAAAAAAAUCCCUCAUGUCAAAAUAUGUAUAGCAUGGAGUAGGUUUAAAAUGUCACUUGUAACUCUGACAGAACGAAUGAAUCUCCUGAGUGUGGGGACUGCAGCUGUACCUGGCACAUACAGAAGAGCAGUGAAUAUUUUUGAAAGAAUGCUCAACAUAUUACUCAUUCCGAUGCUCCCAGUGAAAAGGCCAGGCUGUGGAAAUGUGAUAAAAAUCGGCCUUCAUCCAUUCCUUUAUUCAGUAAAUAUCAUAGCACAUAGUAGUUCAUUAAAUGCUGCUUGAGUUUCA